CCUAUUUCUCUCUCCCCUCUCCUCCCUCCCGCCUCCCUUCCCUCUCCCCCCUCCCUUUCUCUUCUGAAUAAGCAAGCUUUUGCUUCUAAAAGUCACAAGUAAUCCUCGUGUGUGACAGAGAGAGAGAGACACACACACACGAGCCUGCCGAGAGGAGCUGCAGGCAGGAGGGGAAUCUGGCACAACGGCUGGGAGAGGAAACUUGACGCUUCUGGGCCACCAUUUGCCAGGGCCUCGCUCGAGACGCCGAAAGGAGCCUGUUUGUGUACUGCGGCCGCUCUGUGACUCUGGAUCUUGUCUUCUGGCCGGCGCCUCGAUUCCUGCCCAGCUGGAUUUGGGGGGCAACACCGCCUGGCGCAGGAGGAGAGCAAAUGAGACUACAAAGAAGCAUAAAAUGAAUAGACAAUACAACCAACCAAAGACCGGGGGCAGCAGCACGCCAGCAAGACGGCAUCUUCUCCUCCCCAGCCUAGAAGCCCUGUGAAAUCGAGGAUCUUCCCCCUAAAACACACACACACGAGAUAUGUGCAAUCAAGCUGCCACCGCUUGGUAAAAAGCUCACGGUGCCUAACCCAAAAGGAUCAGGAGCAGAUCCUUGAAUCAGCUGUCACCUCUUCUAUAGAAUGGGAUGUUUUUUUUUUUCCUUCCUCCUUAACCUGCGCUGGAAAUUGCCGCUGGCUUUGUACAUCUCUAUAGAGGGAGGCUAAAGAGUCUUGCGUGAGAAUGAAGCAAUUUACAAUGCAAAUAGAGGCCUGUGGAGGGACGGAUGUUGCUGCUCACUCGUAACCGCUUGCUGCACCUUAAUAGCUGGUUUUAUUUUCUGAUAUUAAUAGAUGAAUUGUUGGCUAACGCUGCCGGAGAUUACUUGCUGAAAGGAAAAAAAAAAGUUCGGAAUAAACUUUGAAAGCAACAGAUCUCGUUUGGAUGUUUUAGCCGCACACACAAACAGAAACCAGGUCAUAUUUACAUACAAGAAGGAAUCUUAUGUACGACAAGUGUCCUGGAGGACUACUCUUCGGUGCUACCAGAGAGAUCGGGAUCUGGAGUCUGGCCAGAGGAAGACAGAGGCGUGUGAGGGAAGCGAGUUGUUAUCUUUGGUUAUCUAGCUGUAUGAGUGUAUUGGUCUUCAUAAAGCUAGAUAACCGAAAGUAAAAACUCCUUCAAGAUCGCCGGGGAGCAUGUGAGAAUGAAAGACUACAGCCAAGAGACAGUAAAAACCAGAAAGGUCAGGAAUACUUAUUGAAUCUAACUUUGUUUUUGUUUUUGCUUUUGUUCUUUUUCCUUAUGACUAAAGGUGGGAUUAGAGGAAAUUAAGUGACACACAGAUGCCACAAUAUGAAGGUGCCAGAUACUUUGAGAGGGGUUGUUACAGAUGCAAAGGAGAAUUGUAUGGUGCUAAUAAGUAAAGAUGCAUGUGUAGUUUGUCCUGCUUUAAGACAAAAGUUUAUAUGAGGGUGGUUGUUUUAUGUUUGUUUGGUUUUUUUCCUUAGAAAGCUGUUGUAGAGAUGUCUGGUAUCUAGUUUAAAAAUGAUUUCAUAAUACAUAAACGUAGGCUAUUUCCUUCUGAGGUUCCCUACCCCUGAAAAAUUUGAAGAUUAUGCUUGAGGACUGUAUGUAUUGGGGUUGUAUAUCAAAUUAUAUUAAAUUAGACUUUCAGAAGAGUUUAUAAUGGAAGGUUAAUAAUUUGUAUCUCUGAGGACAUACAGCUAGCAGAGAAAAUGCAAAAAAAAAAAAAAAAGCAAAGGCUGAUUUUUAUUCUUCUAUUCAAAAUACAAGGACAGAUGCUUCUCUGUUCCAAGAGGGUUUCCUUGAGGAAGCUACUGAAGCAGAAAGACAUGAUGGAGACGAGAUCGCCUCCCCUCUUGUCAAAGUGUUAAAAAAAUGUUCUGUCUUACUCUGCGCCUAGCAUUGGAAAUGAAAGUGACAUUUACGCCACAACCCACGUGUGCGCCUCCUCUCUUUUUGUUUAAGGAUGAUCAGAUCUAUCCAGGAAACAGCUCUGGCAUCCCAAACUGAAAUAAUUAGGACGUAUAUAGACCUGACAAAAAUGGAAAGGGGGUGGGGAAUCUGAGGGUCUGUCUUGCCUAAUUGAUUCCGAUAAACGGAAUGCAGGAGAUGUGAACGGCAGGACGCUCCGAUUCCCACGCUCGGGGGCAAGUGGUAAAGCGGGCCGGCAGCCUAUGACAGACAGCCCUGUUGGGGGGUGGGGGUAUGAAAAAAACAUCAAGUGCACACACCAUACUCAUCUCCAUCGCCUAAGAAAGUAGAGGCAUUUCCCACCCACAGCCAUCUGCAGCCUCCCAAAUGGUAGCACCAACUGGUCUGUAGCUGCUGCAUACUGUCUGUUUCUGUUAAUUUUAUAACCGCUGUUUAAUUUGGCCAUACUUAAGUUCAGCUUUCUUCUUUGGUUAAGGUUUUCAGUAUUUAAGAAAAGCUAGUGGAAAGCAGCUCCCCAAAAGUCCCAUUUCUGCCUGCUCUCCACGUCAGAUUCUCAGUCUGUACUUUUGGCUUUGUGACCACCUUUUGGCUUUUGUUUUGGGUGGAUUAUAUCUAGACAACACAUACUCUAUAAUGGACAUUAUUAUCACUUCAUCAGGCUGUUUACCCCGUAACAUGAUAUAUCUAGGAACUUGGCCCAGUUAUGCUAGUAGACACCCACUAGAAGUAAAACUAUAAAAUCAUCAGCCUACAGAAAGCUAAUUACAGUAGUAAUAUGAUAAAAGGUUGUUUUGGUAUGGUCCCAGUGAGAUGCAUUCUAUACAGCCAUUUUUAUUGAAUCUAAAAAUUACUCUACUUAGCAGGAACUUUGGGGCUUUGGAGGUCCCCACUGCAAUCUUUUCAUAAAAGUUCUUACAUUUUCCCACAUGUCAAAGCAAACAUUUGUAUAGACAUUAAACGUAAAUACAAACAUCGCAGUAAGAAAAUGCCUAAAGUGGCCUGUUCUCUUCCAUGUGGACUGGAUUACUGACAAUCUCAAAUUCCAAAUACAGAAUUUUUCUUCAAAAGCAUUACAUUUUCCUUUGUAGCUUCAGCACCUUAUAAGAUUCUAGACUGGAGAACCCUGUAAACCCACUGUUAGUUUCAGUUAGAAACUCUGAGAGACUUUAUUGACGUAAAUUCUCAUUAUGGCUGCUGAACACGUGCCAAAGUUUUACUACUGUAGUGACCGUUGAGAAGACCCUUGUUUAUUUACAUUUGAAGCACUGUUUGUGCAAACAACCUUUCAUUGUUAAGUGCCUGUAUUCCUUUCAUUUACUUCAUGUCCAGGGGUGCUAUUUACCUAGGACCAUUGUCUACUACAAUUAACAUUUACAUUACAAAGUGUGUGGUUUUCUUUCUCAAGGAGGUUCAAUUAAGGCAAUAAGAUGUUUGCUAGGGAAACCUAUUGUUUACGGAAAGCACUCAAUGGAGUCAAAUUACUGAAGCUUUUGCUUACAUCUUGGUCUUUUAUGUAAAUGUGUUAAAUAUAGCAUCUAAGGAAAAUAAACAAUAUUAUAAUUAUGUGUUUGCCAUUGUCAUAUCAAACUUGCUUUGUACCAUACUAAUGUUACAUGACUUAUCGAUCAAUAAAAAUACAUUUCAAUGUUA